rnacentral:rRNA from 1 species
GAUGAACGCUGGCGGCGUGCCUAAUACAUGCAAGUCGAGCGAACAGACGAGGAGCUUGCUCCUCUGACGUUAGCGGCGGACGGGUGAGUAACACGUGGAUAACCUACCUAUAAGACUGGGAUAACUUCGGGAAACCGGAGCUAAUACCGGAUAAUAUAUUGAACCGCAUGGUUCAAUAGUGAAAGACGGUUUUGCUGUCACUUAUAGAUGGAUCCGCGCCGCAUUAGCUAGUUGGUAAGGUAACGGCUUACCAAGGCAACGAUGCGUAGCCGACCUGAGAGGAGGAUACGCCACACUGGAAAUGAGACACGGGUCCGACCCCUCAGGGAGGCAGCAGGGGGGAAUAUUGCCGAAAGGGCGAAAGCCCGAACGAGCCAACCCGGGGGGGUGAAGAAGGGUUUCGGGUUCGAAAAACUCUUUUUUGGGGAAGAAAAAAAGGUGGAAAAAACUAUGCCGUUUUUGCGGUACCCAAAUAAAAAAGCCCGGGCAAACUCGGG